UUGGAGAUGAACUAUUAUUACUUAGACAAUUCGCAACAUGAGAUUCCCGUUCAGAAAGGGUUUUAAAACUUGAGAGAGGAGCAUAGCAAACUGGACAUUCAACAAAAUCAUCAGGCUCUUCAAUCCUCUGCAAAUUGUUUCCACAGGAAGACUGUAUAACUUGAUUGUUAGAUCGAGUAGUGGUAUCAUCGUUCAAACAAGUAGUGAUAGGAUAGGGU